rnacentral:rRNA from 1 species
AGCGUACACGGUGGAUGCCCUGGCAGUCAGAGGCGAUGAAGGACGUGCUAAUCUGCGAUAAGCGUCGGUAAGGUGAUAUGAACCGUUAUAACCGGCGAUUUCCGAAUGGGGAAACCCAGUGUGUUUCGACACACUAUCAUUAACUGAAUCCAUAGGUUAAUGAGGCGAACCGGGGGAACUGAAACAUCUAAGUACCCCGAGGAAAAGAAAUCAACCGAGAUUCCCCCAGUAGCGGCGAGCGAACGGGGAGGAGCCCAGAGCCUGAAUCAGUGUGUGUGUUAGUGGAAGCGUCUGGAAAGGCGCGCGAUACAGGGUGACAGCCCCGUACACAAAAAUGCACAUGCUGUGAGCUCGAUGAGUAGGGCGGGACACGUGGUAUCCUGUCUGAAUAUGGGGGGACCAUCCUCCAAGGCUAAAUACUCCUGACUGACCGAUAGUGAACCAGUACCGUGAGGGAAAGGCGAAAAGAACCCCGGCGAGGGGAGUGAAAAAGAACCUGAAACCGUGUACGUACAAGCAGUGGGAGCACGCUUAGGCGUGUGACUGCGUACCUUUUGUAUAAUGGGUCAGCGACUUAUAUUCUGUAGCAAGGUUAACCGAAUAGGGGAGCCGAAGGGAAACCGAGUCUUAACUGGGCGUUAAGUUGCAGGGUAUAGACCCGAAACCCGGUGAUCUAGCCAUGGGCAGGUUGAAGGUUGGGUAACACUAACUGGAGGACCGAACCGACUAAUGUUGAAAAAUUAGCGGAUGACUUGUGGCUGGGGGUGAAAGGCCAAUCAAACCGGGAGAUAGCUGGUUCUCCCCGAAAGCUAUUUAGGUAGCGCCUCGUGAAUUCAUCUCCGGGGGUAGAGCACUGUUUCGGCAAGGGGGUCAUCCCGACUUACCAACCCGAUGCAAACUGCGAAUACCGGAGAAUGUUAUCACGGGAGACACACGGCGGGUGCUAACGUCCGUCGUGAAGAGGGAAACAACCCAGACCGCCAGCUAAGGUCCCAAAGUCAUGGUUAAGUGGGAAACGAUGUGGGAAGGCCCAGACAGCCAGGAUGUUGGCUUAGAAGCAGCCAUCAUUUAAAGAAAGCGUAAUAGCUCACUGGUCGAGUCGGCCUGCGCGGAAGAUGUAACGGGGCUAAACCAUGCACCGAAGCUGCGGCAGCGACACUGUGUGUUGUUGGGUAGGGGAGCGUUCUGUAAGCCUGUGAAGGUGUACUGUGAGGUAUGCUGGAGGUAUCAGAAGUGCGAAUGCUGACAUAAGUAACGAUAAAGCGGGUGAAAAGCCCGCUCGCCGGAAGACCAAGGGUUCCUGUCCAACGUUAAUCGGGGCAGGGUGAGUCGACCCCUAAGGCGAGGCCGAAAGGCGUAGUCGAUGGGAAACAGGUUAAUAUUCCUGUACUUGGUGUUACUGCGAAGGGGGGACGGAGAAGGCUAUGUUGGCCGGGCGACGGUUGUCCCGGUUUAAGCGUGUAGGCUGGUUUUCCAGGCAAAUCCGGAAAAUCAAGGCUGAGGCGUGAUGACGAGGCACUACGGUGCUGAAGCAACAAAUGCCCUGCUUCCAGGAAAAGCCUCUAAGCAUCAGGUAACAUCAAAUCGUACCCCAAACCGACACAGGUGGUCAGGUAGAGAAUACCAAGGCGCUUGAGAGAACUCGGGUGAAGGAACUAGGCAAAAUGGUGCCGUAACUUCGGGAGAAGGCACGCUGAUAUGUAGGUGAAGUCCCUUGCGGAUGGAGCUGAAAUCAGUCGAAGAUACCAGCUGGCUGCAACUGUUUAUUAAAAACACAGCACUGUGCAAACACGAAAGUGGACGUAUACGGUGUGACGCCUGCCCGGUGCCGGAAGGUUAAUUGAUGGGGUUAGCGCAAGCGAAGCUCUUGAUCGAAGCCCCGGUAAACGGCGGCCGUAACUAUAACGGUCCUAAGGUAGCGAAAUUCCUUGUCGGGUAAGUUCCGACCUGCACGAAUGGCGUAAUGAUGGCCAGGCUGUCUCCACCCGAGACUCAGUGAAAUUGAACUCGCUGUGAAGAUGCAGUGUACCCGCGGCAAGACGGAAAGACCCCGUGAACCUUUACUAUAGCUUGACACUGAACAUUGAGCCUUGAUGUGUAGGAUAGGUGGGAGGCUUAGAAGUGUGGACGCCAGUCUGCAUGGAGCCGACCUUGAAAUACCACCCUUUAAUGUUUGAUGUUCUAACGUUGACCCGUAAUCCGGGUUGCGGACAGUGUCUGGUGGGUAGUUUGACUGGGGCGGUCUCCUCCUAAAGAGUAACGGAGGAGCACGAAGGUUGGCUAAUCCUGGUCGGACAUCAGGAGGUUAGUGCAAUGGCAUAAGCCAGCUUGACUGCGAGCGUGACGGCGCGAGCAGGUGCGAAAGCAGGUCAUAGUGAUCCGGUGGUUCUGAAUGGAAGGGCCAUCGCUCAACGGAUAAAAGGUACUCCGGGGAUAACAGGCUGAUACCGCCCAAGAGUUCAUAUCGACGGCGGUGUUUGGCACCUCGAUGUCGGCUCAUCACAUCCUGGGGCUGAAGUAGGUCCCAAGGGUAUGGCUGUUCGCCAUUUAAAGUGGUACGCGAGCUGGGUUUAGAACGUCGUGAGACAGUUCGGUCCCUAUCUGCCGUGGGCGCUGGAGAACUGAGGGGGGCUGCUCCUAGUACGAGAGGACCGGAGUGGACGCAUCACUGGUGUUCGGGUUGUCAUGCCAAUGGCACUGCCCGGUAGCUAAAUGCGGAAGAGAUAAGUGCUGAAAGCAUCUAAGCACGAAACUUGCCCCGAGAUGAGUUCU